ensembl:lncRNA
GUUAUAUUCAGAGUUUAAAAAUCUCAGAGCUGCUCCUGUAUCUGCACAGAUAUAAACUGGAGAUGUUAAUUUUUUGUCAUUUGGCUUCUAGAUGUCCUUGGCGUGUGCACCCCUGUGGAAUCCAGUUCAUCUCCAAUCUGUCAGGAAGUAUCAGAGGUGGUUUUGACUCCUUAUGUCCUGGGCCUGUGCACAAAAUGUGUGCAGCUGCCCACAAAGCUGCCAGCCAUGAAUGCCACAGAAACAGAGUGGAGGGAAAUACCAGAGAGAAAGGCUUUUUCCCAACUCAGAAUUUCACUUGUGCCAAGAAUUACGCAGACUCUUAUGAAGACAUUCCAGCAGUUUCUGUCUUGUAAGUUCUCUAAGAAUCAGAGUAAAUCUCUCAUAAGAC